AGUGAACGCUGGCGGCAGGCCUAAUACAUGCAAGUCGAACGGCAGCACAGCAGAGCUUGCUCUGUGGGUGGCGAGUGGCGGACGGGUGAGGAAUACGUGGGAAUCUGCCCAGUCGUGGGGGAUAACGUAGGGAAACUUACGCUAAUACCGCAUGCGCCCUUCGGGGGAAAGCCGGGGACCUUCGGGCCUGGCGCGAUUGGAUGAGCCCACGUCGGAUUAGCUAGUUGGCGGGGUAAAGCCCACCAAGGCGACGAUCCGUAGCUGGUCUGAGAGGAUGAUCAGCCACACUGGAACUGAGACACGGUCCAGACUCCUACGGGAGGCAGCAGUAGGGAAUAUUGGACAAUGGGGCGCAAAGCCCUGAUCCAGCCAUGCCGCGUGAGUGAAGAAGGCCCUCGGGUUGUAAAGCUCUUUUGUCCGGAAAGAAAAG
rnacentral:rRNA from 1 species